rnacentral:rRNA from 1 species
AUGAACGCUGGCGGCGUGGAUAAGGCAUGCAAGUCACGGGGGUCCCGUAGCAAUACGGGAUAACCGGCAAACGGGGUAGUAACACGUGGGUACUUACCCUGAAGACGGGUACAACCCCGCGAAAGCGGGGCUAAUUCCCGAUAGCAUCCGAUGCAACAUUCGGAUUAAAGGAGCAAUCCGCUUCAGGAAAGGCCUGCGGGCUAUCAGCUAGUUGGUAGGGUAAUGGCCUACCAAGGCUAUGACGGCUAGGGGGAGUGAGAGCUUGUCCCCCACCACUGGAACUGCGAUACGGUCCAGACACCUACGGGUGGCUGCAGUCGAGAAUCUUCCACAAUGGGCGAAAGCCUGAUGGAGCGACGCCGCGUGCAGGAUGAAGUCCUUCGGGACGUAAACUGCUUUUAUGAGGGAGAAAGCCGCAAGGCUGAUGUUACCUCAUGAAUAAGGACUUGCUAACCUCGU